rnacentral:rRNA from 1 species
UACGGGGGGGGCAAGCGUUGUUCGGAAUUACUGGGCGUAAAGGGCUUGUAGGUGGCCAACUAAGUCCGACGUGAAAUCCCUAGGCUUAACCUAGGAACUGCGUCGGAUACUGGAUGGCUUGAAUCCGGGAGAGGGAUGCGGAAUUCCAGGUGUAGCGGUGAAAUGCGCAGAUAUCGGGAGGAACACCGGUGGCGAAGGCGGUUCUCUGGGCCUGUACUGACGCUGAGGAGCGAAAGCGUGGGGAGCGAACAGG